rnacentral:tRNA from 1 species
GCCCGAUUAGCUCAGCUGGUUAGAGCGUCGUACUAAUAUUCCUUAGCGAAUACUGAGUAAUGCGAAGGUCAACAGUUCAAUCCUGUUAUUGGGCA